rnacentral:rRNA from 1 species
GACGAACGCUGGCGGCGUGCUUAACACAUGCAAGUCGAACGGAAAGGCCCUUUUUUGGGGUGCUCGAGUGGCGAACGGGUGAGUAACACGUGAGUGACCUGCCCUCAUCUUUGGGAUAACCCCGGGAAACCGGGGCUAAUACCGGAUAGGACUUCCUGCUGCAUGGUGGGGGGUGGAAAGCGUUUAGCGGAUGGGGAUGGGCUCGCGGCCUAUCAGCUUGUUGGUGGGGUGAUGGCCUACCAAGGCGGUGACGGGUAGCCGGCCUGAGAGGGCGACC